UUGAUUAGGAUCAAACACAGAACACUCCCAGGGAAGAACUCUGAACGGACUUGAAAGCAAUGACACAUUGGCAAGCUGGUUUGUUCAUCAUCUUCUCCCAGAAACUGUUGAGUCACAGAAUAUCUCAAAGUGUGAAGUGGGAGGAACCUUCUCCUUCUGCAAAUGUCCCACCUCCUUCUUAGGACAGCGGAGGAGCAAUAGAACUGGCCAGAUUCAGCAAACAAGUUCUAGGUGGAACUUCUGGCGAUGAGGAAAUACUGAGAAAGUGUUGAAAUACAGAAAGUAGUGUCUACACCAUGUAUGUCCUGAGGGAACUGAGUUCAUCUUCUCAUGGCUGUAAAAUCUGGGUGCACAUCACUGUGCUGUGAGGCACCUACACCGUAGGAUCAUAUGGACGUAGUUUUGCUGGAGAACUCAUCCUUUCCACUGAUACAGGUCGAGAGAGAACACAUCUUCUUGGGAAGAAACUCCAGAAUGUAAAAACUAAUCUUGUAUAAUGCACAGAGAAAGGACAUUUGAAAACUGCUGUACAUGCAGCUGCCCUAACAUGAAUGACCAGAUCUCCAGAACAAAUCAGCCAGUCCAUCAUGCCUUCUGUGCUUCCAGUCUGAGAGAUUGUGAAUCAUCAGAGAAACCAAAUACAGCCACUUGUCCCACUGAUAGGAACAUGAUCAGCCUAAGUCCCUGACUAUAAGCGUACAAGUGCAUCCAUGUAACAGGAGAAUGUUAUUUAUUCAGAAACUGAUGUCCAGAAAUUACAUGAGCGCUGACUGAUCAAGUAAAAAACUGGUGUUUACAAGUUUGAAUGAUUGCCAUAUACUUCUGCUGAGAGGACACAUCAUUAAUAAAAUUACUUCUUA